UAAGGGUUUCUUCUCCAUUUGGGGCUUUUCGAUUAAGAUCACCAUUCAUCAAAACAUGCUUCUUGGUAAAGAUUACUUCAACCAAUAUGAUCGAUUUGGAUGACUAUUCUGCUGCGCUAUUUUCUAAAAUAGGAUCUAUGAGAGGUAUGUUUGAUGAAUUGCAAAUUUUGUCUUUGUCUGCUUGAUGUUUCGAUACAAGGAUUGAGUCUAUAGAUUUUGUUAAAUCUUAAAACUAUAUGAAUUAAAUCCGUUUGAAACUUCUGAUUAGUGAUCUUAGACCAUGAGUUACUCAAACUUGUAUUCAUCUGCAGUUAUUUUGUCAUUUGCAAAUACUAAUGCCCCUCUGUGUUUUCUGUUAAACAAUGGAAAAUGAUUACCAUGCAUGAGACAUCUAUUGGAUGUCUGUUGUUGCAUACUUUGUUAUUGAUGAGUCAAUUUUUCUAUGUAUGCUUAUCAACGAUACGUUGCUAAGUCUAUAUGUAUGAAUCAUUGAUGCAAAUUAUGAUGUGCAAACUGCAAAGGAAAUCAGGAACCUAACUGGUUCAUGUUUGUGAUUUCAUUUGCAGCAUCUGCAAUAUCUCUCAAGACCUUGAACUUAGCAAAUAUUCCAAUUCUCGCUUGAGGGAGUAAUUACAAGAAAUGGAGGAGAGAAAUAGGGCUAUUAUUGACCAUCAAUGAGUAUGAUAUAGCCAUUGAUACUCUAAGAUCAGUGAUCACAGAUCAAAGCACUAGAGCAGAAAAGGUUGAUUAUGAAAAAUGGACAAGAGCCAACAAAGUUGCACUUUCAAUCCUUGAAAGUGGGAUGACUAACAUAGUUCGAUGAGGGAUUAAAAGACAUGAGUUGGCUGCAGAAUACCUGAGUGCAAUUGAGAAGAAAUUCAAGGAAUCUGAGAAGACUGAGAUCAGUCAACACAUGUCACUCUUAACAACCUACAAAAUUGACAAUGCUGGUUCAAUUAGAGACCACAUAAUGAAGAUGACUGAUGUUGUUGAAAAGUUAAAUUCUAUGGAAGUUAACAUUGGUGAAAAGCAGUUGGUCUUCAUGAUCCUUCAAGCCCUCCCAAACAAGUAUUCUCAAUUAAAGGUGUCAUACAACACUCAAGACAAGAGUUGGGAUGUAGAUGAGCUAAUUGCACAGUGUGUUCAAGAAGAAACUCGACAGAGGCAAGAAAAAGGCAAGGAUGCUGAAAUUGUGAAUUUCGUGCAAGGAGGGAAAGGCAGGAAGUUCAACAAUGCUGGAUUUAAUCCAGGUAAGAACUUUAAACACCAUAAGCCUUCUGAUAAGACUGCUAUAUCUGCUAAGGUAUUUGAAACUUCUAGAGGAUCUAACAAUCUUAAACCAAAAGUGAAAAAUGUUGCUAAACUCAAAUGUUUUUUCUGCAAAACUAGAGGUCAUUUAAGAAAAGAUUGUGAACUGUUUAAAGACUACUUAAAGGCUAAUGGAAAGGAGAUAGUUAAUGUAUAUGUAGAGUCAAACUUAAUUGAGGUUCCAUUCAAUUCUUGGUGGUUCGAUACUGGCUGCACAGUUCACAUAACUAACUCAAUGCAUGGUUUUCAAAAACAAAAGGAUGCCAGUUUUAACUGUUUUAAUGUCUUUGUGGGGGAAGGGACAAAAGUUGCAGUCAAAGCUAUUGGAUCAGUGAGAUUAGAAUUAAAUUCUAGUUUCAUUUUACAACUAAGUGAUGUCUUAUAUGUGCCAAAGAUGAGAAGAAACGUAAUUUCAGCCUCUAAACUUGUCAAAAAUGGUUUUUCUUUCUUAGGGGAUGAUGAAUGUUUGAAACCUUUUAUGAAAAACAGUUUUGAUUCUAUUUUGGGGACUGCUCGGUUAGUUGAACGCUUAUGGCAGUUAGAGUGUAGUGUUGUUCUUAGUGAGUAUCAUGCACUACACACAAGUACAAAGAGAAUGUUAAACACUGACACUUUUUACACCUUUUGGCACAAGAGAUUAGGUCACAUAUCAAAUGAAAGAAUCACUAAACUAUCAAAAUCCAACUUGAUUCCUCCAUUAAAUUUUGAAACUGCAACUGAUUUGUGGUCAUUUCCCAACUAAAACCAUUUGUGGAAAUAGUUACUUUGUUAAUUUCAUUGAUGACUUUUCAAGAUUUAGUUAUACCUACUUAAUAAGUGAAAAGUCAGCUGCUCUUAAAUGUUUCAUAAUCUUUAAGGCUGAGGUAGAAAAACAGUUAAACAAAUCCAUUAAGAUUGUUAGAUCGGAUAGGGAUGGAGAAUAUUUUGGCAGGUACACAGAGUCUGGACAACAGAAGGGCCAUUUUGCCCUCUAUCUUGAAGAACAAGGAAUCGUGGCUCAAUACACAACUCCUGGUACACCACAACAAAAUGAAGUAUCAGAAAGAAGGAACAGAAUACUGAUUGGCAUGGUGAAGAGCAUGAUGUCAAGGUCCAGGUUGCCUAGUUUCAUUUAGGGUGAGGCUUUAAAGACUGCCAAUUACAUAUUAAAUCGAGUCCUGAGCAAAUCAGUGUCAACCACCCAUUUUGAAGCAUGGUAUGGAAGAUUACCGAGUUUUGGCCAUUUUCACAUUUGGGGUUGCAAGGCAGAAGCUCGGUUCUACAACCCAGAGGAAAGAAAACUAGAUCGGAGAACCGAGUCAUGCUAUUUCAUAGGCUACUCAAAGAAAUCAAAGGGGUUCAAGUUCUAUUGUGCACAAUCUCAUACAAGAAUCAAAGAAACACACAAUGCAAGGUUUUUUGAAGAUCAAGAUGUAUCAGAUUUUACUAUUGAAAAUUUCAUAUUUGAAGAAUUAGAGCAGUCAUCGAAUGAAACAUCCUCAAUUGAUCACUGCCCUGUGUUAGUAUACUUUCAAGCCACGGAUCAAGAUGUUGAGGCUGACUACAAUGAGGAUCCCGAUAAAGUAAUGGAACAACCAGAAGUAACUGAAAUGGAGCAUGAACCAAGUUAACAUGGCACGAAACUGAUUGACAGUACAAUGCAAAAUGAUUGUAUUCAAGUGCAACCCCAAAUCAGAAAAUCCACAAGAAUAAGAAAACCUGCAAUUACAAGCGAUUUCCUAUGCUAUCUCAAAGAAACUGACUAUAAUAUUGGAGAUAUUGAUGAUCCUAUGACUUAUUCACAAGCAAUGAAGAGCUCACAAUCAAAUUUGUGGAACAAUGCGAUGAAAGAUGAACUGGAAUCAAUGUACAAGAAUCAGGUUUGGUUAUUGGUGGAACCUAAAUCUGAUAAAAGGCCUAUAGGAUGCAAAUGGGUUUACAAAACUAAGAGGGAUGCACAGGGACAAAUUGAAAGGUAUAAAGCUCGAUUGGUUGCUAAAGGGUUCACUCAAAGAGAAGGAAUUGACUACAAUGAUACCUUCUCACCCGUGUCCUCAAAAGAUUCAUUGAGACUCAUUAUGGCUAUAACUGCAUACUAUGAUCUAGAGUUACAUCAAAUGGAUGUAAAAACAGCUUUUCUCAAUGGGGAUCUUCAAGACGACAUUUAUAUGGUUCAACCCCUUGGAUAUAUUGAAAGGGGGAAGGAGAAUAUGGUUUGUAAAUUAAAGAAGUCGAUCUAUGGUCUCAAACAAGCAUCCAGACAAUGGUACUUAAAGUUUGAUCAAGUAAUCACAUCUGAUGGUUUUGUUGAGAAUAAACUCGAUGAUCGCAUCUACCUAAAGUUUAGAGGGUCGGAGUUCGUAAUCUUAGUUCUAUAUGUUGAUGACAUAUUACUUGCAAGUUCGAGCAUUCAGUUGUUAAAAGAGACAAAAGCAUUGCUCAGUGCAAAUUUCGAAAUGAAGGACCUUGGUGAGGCACAUUUUGUCCUAGGCAUUGAAAUUGCUAGAGACAGAAACAGAAAGUUAUUGGGACUUUCUCAGAAAGCCUACAUUGAAAUGUUUUUUUUACUAGGUUCAACAUGGAAAGCUGCAAUGGUUGCCAUGUUCCAGUGAACAAAGGGGAUCGUUUAUCAAAUGAACAAUGUCCUAGAACCGAUUUCAAAGUCAAGAAGAUGUCUGAGAAACUAUAUGCUUCAUUAGUUGGAAGCUUAAUGUAUGCAAAUGUUUGUACAAAACCUGACAUUGCAUAUAUAGUAGGAAUUUUGGGCAGAUUUUAAUCUAAUCCAGGAGAAGCUCAUUGGAGUGCUGCCAAGAAAGUUCUGAGGUAUCUGCAACAAACCAAGGGCUAUAUGCUUGUGUAUGAUAGAGAAGAAGAACUUGAAUUGAAAGGGUACACAGAUUCUGACUUGGCAGGAGAUUUAGAUGACAGAAAAUCAAUUGGUGCAUAUGUAUUUAUGUUUGGUGGAGGUGCAGUGUCUUGGAAGAGUGCCGAGCAAACUAUCAUUGCGACUUCUACUAUGGAGGCAGAGUUUGUGGCAUGCUUUGAAGGAAUGAAGCAAGGAGUAUGGUUAAGAAUUUUGUGGCAGAAUUAAGGAUUGUAAAAUCAAUACAGAAGCCUUUGACAAUGUAUUGUGACAAUAAUUCUGCAGUUUUCUUUGCUAAGAACAACAAAAGAACUUCUGCUUCGAGGUUGAUGGAUGUCAAGUUUCUAAAAGUAAGGGAGAAAGUCAAGCAAGGAACCAUUGAUGUGCAUCAUAUCAGUACGAGUUUAAUGGUUGCUGAUCCUUUGACCAAGGCCUUGGCUGUUGAUAUUUUUAAGGUGAAAAUCUCCAGAAUGGGCGUGCUUGAGUCCCUUGAUUAGUGGGAGUAGUGUUUUAUCAAAGGCUUUUGUGUCAAUAAAGUUGAGAAGUGCUGCUAUUAUGAAGUUCAAAGAGCUGGUAUAGUAGUGAUACUCUUCUCAUCAAGUUAGUUUUCUGGUUCAGUUUGCUUUAUUUACAGUUAGUAUAAUUGUAAGCUAGUUGUAUUCAGAGAUUCAAUUUUUGUAAUUGUUUGAUCUGAUAUAUAUAUAUAUAUAUAUAUAUAUAUAUAUAUAUAUAUGUGUGUGUGUGUGUGUGUGUGUGUGUGAUUUUGGAUUCAGUUGAUGCCUUAAGGAAUCUUUGUGAUUUGACUUAGGUAGUUGUUUUGAAUUCAUAAGACUUGCAUACAGACAGUUUAUUGACUGUAAUGAACUUGAUUGUUUUGAAUUGAGUUAAGAAAUAGUGGGAGUGGAUAUUUAGGUCCACUGAGUUUCAGUUUGAUCAUAAUGUUAUGAUGUGCAGAUUGGACAUAAGUGAUCUAAGAGCGCCGGUUGCAUAAUGGUUGUGACUGUGAGUUUUCAGAUUCUGUGUUUUGAGAUGAAUAGGUAGAUUGUUUAUGAUGUUGCUCAAAAGGCUUAGUGAUCACCCUAUUGUAGUCUUAAUCGAACUGGUUUCUUGGUUCAUACUUGCUUAAGUGGGAGAAUGUAAGAAUGUAAGCAUGAGUAUGAAUCUAUGAACUUAGUUACAGGAUUAAAGACUGAAUAGGAAGUCUUGUUGAGAUUGGAUUUGUGAAUCCAUAUUGGUGCUGAAUUGCCAUUUCAUAAGAAUUGUUUUUCUAUAUGGAUUUUAAUAGGGAAAUCCUUAUGGAAUAAG
rnacentral:lncRNA from 1 species